AUUAACAGAACAUUCCCACAUGGUACUAUUUUGGUUAUAUCAUAACGUUCCCAAUAUGACUGUAGCGGGACGUUCCAUGUUGGUUACCCUGUGGUCACAUAAGAACGUUACAGAGAGGACACCUGAGACAUUAACAGAACAUUCCCACAUGGUACUAUUUUGGUUAUAUCAUAACGUUCCUGAUAUGACUGUAGGAAGACAUUCCAUAUUGGUUAUCCUGUGGUCACAUAAGAAUGUUACAGAGAGGACAUUUGGAACAUUAACAGAACAUUCCCACAUGGUACUAUUUUGGUCAUAUCAUAACAUUCCCAAUAUGACUGUAGCGGGACGUUCCAUGUUGGUUAUCCUGUGGUCACAUAAGAACGUCACAGAGAGACAUUUGGAACAUUUACAGAACCAUCCUACAUGGUCCUCUGUUGGUCAGAUAAUAAUGUUCCAGAUAUGACUUUAGGGGGACGUCCCAUAUUGGUUAUUCUGUGGUCACAUGGCAACGUUACAAAGAGGACAUUUGGAACAUUAAUAGAAUGUUCUCACAUGGUCCUCUGUUGGUCAUUUAAUAAUGUUCCUGAUAUCACUAGGAGGACAAAAUAUGAAAUUACAGUUAGAGCAUUUUAUUUUUAUAGGCAGUUAAUACAAAGGAUGUGUCAAUGUGCAGUGGACCAUACAAACAAAGUAAUAAAUAAAUGAUUUCAGAAUGAAGAAAAAUAAACGAGUGAUUCAGUCUGCACUAUCCUACAUCAGACAAAGACAAAUAGCAAUUAAAUAAGACUUUACAUUAAAUUGUGUUAACAAGCACAAAAAUACUAGUAAGUAAUACUAUACUAAUAUGUAUUAUGUUGUACUCUCUGAAUAUGAUGAUGUAGAAGGCAAUGCAUCUUGGAAACAGUAGUCCGUUACCAGCAACAGCGUUCAAUCCGCUUUAUGAAAAGGACUACCUUACCCAUAAUGCCACAGCUUACAAGAGGACCCGGAAGUCGCAUGAAAUUCAAACUGCCACACUUGACGACGCGUGAUCUUUGUUUUGUCUUUAUAUAAUACUGUAAGAAGUCAUGUACCACACAUUGUCAAACCUGAAGAAGUGUAUCUUCCUGCAAUCUGGGCUCCAGACCUGGAGAUUGAAGUUCCUAAAGGUUGAUGUUUAUCAAGCUUGUGACCUUAUUGCAUGGUGUUAUUUUUUUACAUUUAUAUAUCUAAUACACAUUUGCACAUCUGUAAACAUAAAUUUAAUAUUUUGUGGGUUAUUUUUAAAUUUUAUUUAACCAGUUGUUGUAUAUUGA